GUGGGGAAUUUUGGACAAUGGGGGCAACCCUGAUCCAGCCAUCCCGCGUGUGCGAUGAAGGCCUUCGGGUUGUAAAGCACUUUUGGCAGGAAAGAAAUCGCACGGGAUAAUACCUCGUGUGGAUGACGGUACCUGCAGAAUAAGCACCGGCUAACUACGUGCCAGCAGCCGCGGUAAUACGUAGGGUGCAAGCGUUAAUCGGAAUUACUUGGCGUAAAGCGUGCGCAGGCGGGUCGGAAAGAAAGCUGUGAAAUCCCAGGGCUUAACCUUGGAACUGCAUUUUUAACUACCGGGCUAGAGUGUGUCAGAGGGGGGUGGAAUUCCGCGUGUAGCAGUGAAAUGCGUAGAUAUGCGGAGGAACACCGAUGGCGAAGGCAGCCCCCUGGGAUAACACUGACGCUCAUGCACGAAAGCGUGGGGAGCAAACAGGAUUAGAUACCCUGGUAGUCC
rnacentral:rRNA from 1 species